GAUGAACGCUGGCGGCGUGCCUAAUACAUGCAAGUCGAGCGAACGGACGAGAAGCUUGCUUCUCUGAUGUUAGCGGCGGACGGGUGAGUAACACGUGGAUAACCUACCUAUAAGACUGGGAUAACUUCGGGAAACCGGAGCUAAUACCGGAUAAUAUUUUGAACCGCAUGGUUCAAAAGUGAAAGACGGCGUUUCUGUCACUUAUAGAUGGAUCCGCGCUGCAUUAGCUAGUUGGUAAGGUAACGGCUUACCAAGGCAACGAUGCAUAGCCGACCUGAGAGGGUGAUCGGCCACACUGGAAGUGAGACACGGUCCAGACUCCUACGGGAGGCAGCAGUAGGGAAUCUUCCGCACUGGGCGAAAGCCUGACGGAGCAACGCCGGGUGAGUGAUGAAGGGCUUCGGAUCGUAAAACUCUGUUAUGAGGGAAGAACAGAUGUGUAAGUAACUGUGCACAUCUUGACGGUACCUAAACAGAAAGCCACGGCUAACUACGU
rnacentral:rRNA from 1 species